AGCAGCAUGGCGCAGUGGUAGCGCGCGGGGCCCAUAUAUGUGCAAUACUUUCUCUGUACACCCCGAGGUCACUUGAUCGAAACAAGUUGCUGCUA